rnacentral:lncRNA from 1 species
UCUACUUCUAGAUCUGUUAAGGAAUUGGAGAUGAUCACUGGAAGUGUGGAUGAUUCUCCUAAAUAGGCGUACCUUAAAUGAGGUGAAAGUGUUUUCAAAUCAAGCGUAGGGGCUUUUUGAUGAGAUGGAAGAGGUAUUGAAGAUGUCUUUUCCAACUCCUCAUAAUAUGGUACCCUCUUGAAGGUGCGGAAAGGUGUAGCUUCCAAGUACUUUGUCAUACCUUCAACAUCGGGGUCACCAUCACUUAUAUCAGAAGAACUUACUAGGCAUCUCUCAAGAGUGUCGUCAGAACGCCCAUAAAGAGAGUCGGCAACCAAAUGAUCAAUCAUAUC